AACGAACGCUGGCGGCAGGCUUAACACAUGCAAGUCGAGCGGUAACAGGCGUAGCAAUACGUGCUGACGAGCGGCGAACGGGUGAGUAAUGCUUCGGAAUCUUCCUUGUAGUGGGGAAUAACCUGGGGAAACUCAGGCUAAUGCCGCAUACGAACCAUGGUUGAAAGCGGGGGAUCGCAAGACCUCGCGCUAUAAGAUGAGCCGAAGUCGGAUUAGCUAGUUGGUGGGGUAAAGGCCUACCAAGGCGACGAUCCGUAGCUGGCCUGAGAGGACGACCAGCCACACUGGGACUGAGACACGGCCCAGACUCCUACGGGAGGCAGCAGUGGGGAAUAUUGGACAAUGGGGGCAACCCUGAUCCAGCGACGCCGCGUGUGUGAAGAAGGCCUGCGGGUUGUAAAGCACUUUUAGUGGGGACAAAAAGCCGAGGGCUAAUACCUUUCGGUCUUGAUUUAACCCAAAGAAAAAGCACCGGCUAACUCUGUGCCAGCCGCCGCCGUAAGAC
rnacentral:rRNA from 1 species